rnacentral:rRNA from 1 species
CUGCUUUGAUGAAGUUUUCGGAUGGAUUUAAAACAGCUUAGUGGCGGACGGGUGAGUAACGCGUGGGUAACCUGCCUCACACUGGGGGAUAACAGUUAGAAAUAGCUGCUAAUACCGCAUAAGCGCACGGUUCCGCAUGGAACAGUGUGAAAAACUCCGGUGGUGUGAGAUGGACCCGCGUCUAAUUAGCUAGUUGGCGGGGUAACGGCCCACCAAGGCGACGAUGCGUAGCCGAACUGAGAGGUUGACCGGCCACAUUGGUACUGAGACACGGACCAAACUCC